rnacentral:rRNA from 1 species
AGGUUCGGCGUGGGCACUACGUAAAGGGACUGCCGGUAGUUAAACCGGAGGAAGGUGGGGAUGACGUCAAGUCCUCAUGGCCUUUAUGACCAGGGCUACACACGUACUACAAUGGCCGAUACAAAGGGCAGCGACACUGCGAGGUGAAGCCAAUCCCGUAAAAUCGGUCUCAGUCCGGAUUGGAGUCUGCAACUCGACUCCAUGAAGUUGGAAUCGCUAGUAAUCGUGGAUCAGCAUGCCACGGUGAAUACGUUCCCGGGCCUU